rnacentral:rRNA from 1 species
GACGUAGGGCGCGAGCGUUGUCCGGAUUUAUUGGGCGUAAAGAGCUCGUAGGCGGCUCGUUGCGUCAACCGUGAAAACCCGGGGCUUAACUUCGGGCUUGCGGUUGAUACGGGCGGGCUGGAGUUCGGUAGGGGAGACUGGAAUUCCUGGUGUAGCGGUGAAAUGCGCAGAUAUCAGGAGGAACACCGGUGGCGAAGGCGGCAUCCUGGACCGACACUGACGCUGAGGCGCGAAAGCUAGGGUAGCAAACGGG